AGGGGGCAGCAUAGGAGCCGUGAGAUUUUUGGCGCGAGGUGUAAAUGUGAAGUUUAUGCUUCCGAUGUAGCCCACAAGAUGGCAGAACCUACUAUGGGGCUGUUCAUAAAUUACAUGUUUAUGAUUCCGAUUCAGACCACAAGAUGGCAGACCCUCCAACACGCACGGUCCCUAUAC